AAUGAAAACAAACUACAAAACAGGAGGCUAAAGUGGGUUUCUGACUCUAUUUUAAUGGCCCAUUACAACAAGCUAAUUAUUGGAACCUGUAACAGAGAGAUACGACUCUAUGAGCUCUCCAACUUGGAACCGUAUUGCCAAAUUGUGGCCCUUGAAACAAUGCCUCUGUGUUUGGAUUACAGUGUUCGGGGAGAAGGUGAAUGCGUGAUAUCAUAUGGUGAUGAGCAGGUAUGUUGAUAAGGUCUGGUAUGUUUUAAUUCAGAUAUAAACUGAGAAAAUGGUACAGCUAGAACUUACUGAGUUUUGCAGUUUGCUUCUAAGAAAGGUAUCCACAACUU